rnacentral:rRNA from 1 species
AUUGAACGCUGGCGGCAGGCCUAACACAUGCAAGUCGAGCGAGCGGCGGACGGGUGAGUAAUGUAUGGGGGCUGCCCGUUAGAGGGGGAUAACUACUGCAAACGGUAGCUAAUACCGCAUACUAUCGGAUAAUCCCGAUGGGAUUAGCGAGUGGGUGAGGUAAUGGCUCACCCGGCCGACGAUCCCUAGCUGGUCUGAGAGGAUGAUCAGCCAUACUAGGACUGAGACACGGCCCAGACUCCUACGGAGGCAGCAGUGGGGAAGAUUGCACAAGGGGCGCAAGCCUGAUGCAGCCAUGCCGCGGGUAUGAAGAAGGCCCUAGGGUUGUAAAGUACUUUCAGUCGGGAGGCGUUACCGACAGAAGAAGCACCGGCUAACUCCGUGCCAGCAGCCGCGGUAAUAC